GUUCCGGGCCGAGUUCCUCGUGCCGACGUGUCUUGUAAGGUGCGGCUAGAAACUGGGGACAUGGCAGCGCCUGGCCCAGCGCUCUGCCUCUUCGACGUGGAUGGGACCCUCACCGCCCCGCGGCAGAAAAUUACCAAAGAAAUGGAUGACUUCCUACAAAAAUUGAGGCAGAAGAUCAAAAUCGGAGUGGUAGGCGGAUCGGACUUUGAGAAAGUGCAGGAGCAACUGGGAAAUGAUGUGGUUGAAAAAUACGAUUAUGUGUUUCCAGAAAAUGGCUUGGUAGCAUACAAAGAUGGGAAACUCUUGUGUAAACAGAAUAUUCAAAGUCAUCUGGGUGAGGCCCUAAUCCAAGAUUUAAUCAACUACUGUCUGAGCUACAUUGCAAAAAUUAAACUCCCGAAGAAGAGGGGUACUUUCAUUGAAUUCCGAAAUGGGAUGUUAAACGUGUCCCCUAUUGGAAGAAGCUGCAGCCAAGAAGAACGCAUUGAGUUCUACGAACUCGAUAAAAAAGAAAAUAUAAGACAAAAGUUUGUAGCAGAUCUACGGAAAGAGUUUGCUGGAAAAGGCCUCACGUUUUCCAUAGGAGGCCAGAUCAGCUUUGAUGUCUUUCCUGAUGGAUGGGACAAGAGAUAUUGUCUGCGACAUGUGGAAAAUGACGGUUAUAAGACCAUUUAUUUCUUUGGAGACAAAACCAUGCCAAUUCUGGAACGGAACCCCAGCCCUUCCAGGUCUGAGAGCCACUCUUUCUUUGCUCUGGAUUUCUGUCACGUCAGGGUCCCCUCCCUCUGCGGAGUUGUAUGUUGCUGUUCCUGAUGCAUAGACUCCUCCCCCGCUGCUUUUCUGCCCACUGGGUCAGGAUCUGCCAUUCUUUACAAGUUUCCUUAACGUAUUGCGUCAAAGCGAGACAACUGAGUCUUACUCAAACUUGUUUUAACCGGAGAUGGAGCGUCGCUGCUGUGUCACCGCCUGCACAGGGCUGCCCUCAGGCCAGCUUCCUGGGGCUUACUCCGAGGGCAUCGGCUUGCCCCGCACUGUGGUGGGAUGUAAAGUGAUAACAGCUAAACGACGCCUGCACAACGUGUCCUGGUGCCUUCUGCGUGACCCCGGAGCAGCAGGUUCUGCACGUGGCAGGUAAGAGCACAGCUGCCAAGACUCCAAGCCUAGUUCUGCUGCUACAAGCUGCUGCGUGACUUAAGGUGAGUUCAUCUUCGCCUCAGUUUCUUCCUCUGUCAAAUGGGAUAGUCCUUACCGUGUAUGGAAUUUAAAGCACUUUGAACAGUGAGUGUGAGCCAUUACUAACUCAAGUAAUACCCCUUCCCAACCCAGAACCCUAUAAGGCAGGGACAGUCAGUCCCUCUCUCUGCUUUAGGGGGUUGCAGGAUAAAGACACCAUCACAAGAAAUUCAAACACAGUAGGUAAAUUUUGAGCCACAGCAAAGCACAGAGGUUGCAUCCAGGCCAGCUUAGCACUGUUGAAAGUCACCAUCCCCAGCACUGCAGAAGCUGACCCUGAACUCAAGGUCACCCAGGGCUUAAGCCUCAGAGAAAAGGCCUGGGUUGAACCUGAGCAGCAGGUGAGUGCAGGGCAGGCCUCUGGCUCCCUGGAGGGAGAGGCUAGCCAGGAAGUUGAGCUUGAACCUGACCCCGAGGGAGAGGUGUGGGGCAUACUCAUGAUCUGUCCGGGAAGGUCUCUCCAGCUACUGGAAGGGGAGUGCCCACAGGGGCCAGGAGAAGGCAGUUGGGUAGAUGUUGCCGUAGUCCGGACACAUCCAGGCAUACGUGGUUUUGAAUCACUUCCUCUCCAAGGGCUGCUGCUUCCUCUCCACCCCUCCCAAGUGUUCUGGCUCUGGGCCCCGGCUGGCCACCUCAGCCCAGGCAGGCUCCUCCAACCUGAAUGACAGGCAACCUCUACGCUGCCCGCCACGGCACCCCAAAGUCAAGACGUAGAACUCAUUCCACCUCCUUCACCCGAGGCUGCUUUCCCAAACGUCUUCCCAGUCCCAUCUUCAGUUUUGUUUUUUUUGUUGUUGCUAUUGUUUUUGAGACGAGUCACUGUUGUCGCCCAGCCUGGAGUGCAAUGGCACGAUCUCAGCUCGCUGCAACCUCCGCCUCCCCAGUUCAAGCAAUUCUACUGCCUCAGCCUCCCGAGUAGCUGAGAUUACAGGCCCCCGCCACCAUGCCCAGCUAAUUUUUGUCUUUUUAGUAGAGACGGGGUUUCACCAUGUUGGCCAGGCUGGUCUCGAACUCCUGACCUCAGGAGAUCCACCUGCCUUGGCCUCUCAAAGUACUGGGAUUACAGGCAUGGGCAUGAGUCACCAUGCCCGGCCUUUUUUUUUGUUUUUGAGACAGAGUCUCACUCUGUUAUCCAGGCUGGGGUGCAGUGGCACAAUCUUGGCUCGCUGCAACCUCUGCCUCCAGGUUCAAGCGAUUUUCCUGCCUCAGCCUCCCAAGUAACUGGGAUUACAGGUAUGCACCACCACGCGCAGCUAAUUUUUGUAUUUUUAGUAGAAACGGGGUUUCACUAUUUUGCCUAGGCUGGUCUUGAACUCCUGACCUCAAGUGAUCUGCCCACCUCGGUUACCAAAGUGCUGAGAUUACAGGCGUGAGCUACCACGCCCGCUCCCCACCUUCAGCUUUUGCCAAACCCUUCCUUGGCUACCCAUGUAGUACUCCAUAUAGUAAGUCAGCAAAUGUCAUUGUUUUGAGCUAAGUGCCUACGUUAGGCUCUCCCUAAACAGGUUUGAUGGGCUGGUUUUUUCCCAAUAUGCUUUGGAAAUCAUUGUAUAAUACUGACAAGAAAAGUGUCCAUCUCUGCACCACCCAAAAUCACUGCCUCCCUUGGGAGACACCGGCCAGAGCAAAGCCUUCCCAACAGAGCACAGCGACCCCAUAGAGUGGCCCCUGCCGUCACUGUUCUCCUGGAAACCAAGAACAGGAGUUCUCACACCUGCCCACCUUCUGCCCUCACUCCCACUGCUGCAACAGCAAACCCUUCCUCCCCUGCUAUGGACCUUGAAAAGCUCUCCGUCCUAGGACUCUCUGCCAGCCCCGGGCCCUCAAGCCUCAUCUGCUUCCAGCCCCUGACUUCAUGCCUGAAGAGCAGCAAGCUUUUUUUUUUUUUUUUUUUUUUUUUUGAGACUGGGUGUCGCUGUCACCCAGGCUGGAGUGCAGUGGUGUAUUCACAGCUCAUUGCAGCCUUGACUUCCUGGGCUCCAGCAAUCCUCCCACUUCAGCCUCUGGAGUAACUGGGACCACAGGCUCAUGCCACCAUGCCCAGCUAAUUGUAUUUUUUUUUUGGUAGAGACCAGGUUUCGCCAUGAUGCCCAGCUGGUCUCAAACCCCUGAGCUCAAGCCAUCCACCUACCUCGGCCUCUCAAAAUGCUGGGAUUACAGGCGUGAGCCACCAUGCCCAGUCCUAGCAAACGUUCAUCAAAUGUCUAUAGCAGUGGCCGGGUGCUGUGGCUCACACCUCUGGUCCCAGCACUGUGGGAGGCUGAGGCAGGAGGAUGGUCUGAGUAUAGGAGUUCGAGACCAACUUGGGCAAUGUAGCAAGUUGAUCUCUACAAAAAAUUUAACAAUUAGCCAGGCAUGGUGGCAUAUGCCUCUAGUCCCAGCUACUCAGGUGGCUGAAGGAGGAUCACUUGAUCCCACGAGGUUAAGGCUGCAGGGCAACAAAGCGAGACCUUGUCUCAAAAACACAAACAAAAAACACCUCUAUAGCAGGAAUGAGCCAGGGACUGUGGACAGUGUGCCCCGAGGCCCGUCCUCUCUUCCCACAGCUGAUGGGGAUGAGGUGUAACUCACACAUCCUAAAAGCUUCAACAGGGCACUGGAGUGCCGCUGACCAAGUUACUGGCAUUUUCUAUUGCCAGGAAGCCGCAUUCUCCUCCCUGCUAAGCUUUCUCAUGCUAGAGAAUGAUGACUAAAAAAUAGAUGAUCCCAUCCUCUUAUUCACCAUCCCCUAAAAAAACAGAGUGCCACGUGGAAUGUGUCAGCCUCACCUGGGGGAGACACCCUUAUCUGAAGACUUAAAAGGAAAAACUUGGUGAGCCAGCCUCCACACAAACACACACAUAGCCUUGCACAAAACAAAAA